UCAGGAAUAAGCAUCGCCUAAUUACGUGCCAGCAGCCGCGGUAAUACUGAGGAGGCAAGCGUUAUUCGUAAUGAUUGGGCGUAAAGCGUCCGCAGGUGGCACUGAAAGUAUGCUGUUAAAGAGUCUAGCUCAACUAGAUAAAGGCAGUGGAAACUACAGAGCUAGAGUACGUUCGGGGCAGAGGGAAUUCCUGGUGUAGCGGUGAAAUGUGUAGAGAUCAGGAAGAACACCGGUGGCGAAAGCGCUCUCCUAGGCCGUACUGACACUGAGGGACGAAAGCUAGGGGAGCGAAUGGGAGGAAAUACCCCAGUAGUCCUCGCCGUAAACGAUGGAUACUAGGCGUGGCUUG
rnacentral:rRNA from 1 species